GAAACUCCACAGAUUUCCUACACAUGCUUUCCAACCCCACAGCCACAUGGUUUCAGACCCCAGACAAGUCAGGGGAAAGAGAAUGUGUUGUUCUUAGAAAUAACCAGACAGUCUGACAAAACAUUUAAUUCUUUUUGGUGUGUGGCACAGAGUAGGAUGGAUGUUUUGCCUUGAUCAUAACCUAAAACAAUCAUGUUGUGUAAUAUUUCUCCUAAUAUUCUCAAAGGAAUCAAGUGUACUCUGCAUGCUAAUGAGUGGAAGGCAUGGCACUGCCCACAGGUCCAGGAACAGCGCUGCAUAGACUGUGGGACCAGACCACGUGGGUUCUAGUACUGGCUCUGUCUUACUCCGUGUGAUCUUGGACAGGUGACCCAAACCUGUCCAGGCCUCAGAUUUUGUAUCUGGGAUAUAAGACUGGAUUGCCAUGUGGAUUAAAAGAGAUGAUGCAGACAAAGUACAAGCAUCUGGGACUCUGAAUGAGGAAGAAAUGUGCAUCUGUUGAGGAACCAGGAGCCAGACAUUAAGAGGGAGAACUAUGCUCUUAAGGGUAGAGAACACAAGAUUCCACUCAUCCUGAAGAAGGGUAAGCUUACUACUUUAUGUUAAAGACAUGCCAACUUCAUAGCAUCAGCACCAGGCCUAAUGUCCUUCCUGUGUUAGGUGUUUACACUGUUAUUUAAUUAAU